rnacentral:rRNA from 1 species
GAUAGCGGCCAUAGCGACGGGGAAACACCUGGACCCAUUCCGAACCCAGCAGUUAAGCCCGUCCACGUAGUGUGCUGUACUGAGGUACGCGAGUCCCUGGGAACCACACCUCGCUGCUAUCA